UACGAAGGGGGCUAGCGUUGCUCGGAAUUACUGGGCGUAAAGCGCACGUAGGCGGCUUCUUAAGUCGGGUGUGAAAUCCUGGAGCUCAACUCCAGAACUGCCUUCGAUACUGUCGAGCUUGAGACCGGAAGAGGUAAGUGGAACUGCGAGUGUAGAGGUGAAAUUCGUAGAUAUUCGCAAGAACACCAGUGGCGAAGGCGGCUUACUGGUCCGGUUCUGACGCUGAGGCGCGAAAGCGUGGGGAGCAAACAGG
rnacentral:rRNA from 1 species